GCUAAUACCGGAUAACAACAGAAUGAUGCCUAUCAACUGUUUAAAAGAUGGUUACUGCUAUCACUCUUGGGAUGGACCCUGCGGUGCAUUAGCUAGUUGGUAGGGUAACGGCCUACCAAGGCGAUGAUACAUAGCCCGAGUUGAGAGACUGAUCGGCCACAUUGGGACUGAGACACGGCCCAAAACUCCUACGGGAGGCAGCAGUAGGGAAUCUUCCACAAUGGACGACAAGUCUGAUGGAGCAACGCCGCGUGAGUGAAGUAAGGGUUUCGGCUACGUAAAGCUCUGUUGUUGGUGAAGAAGGACAGGGGUAGUAACUGACCUUUGUUUGACGGUAAUCAAUUAGAAAGUCACGGCUAACUACGUGCCAGCAGCCGCGGUAAU
rnacentral:rRNA from 1 species